AGCCGCCCCCUUCUUCCUCCAAUGGCGAGGUAAACACCCCUCCCACGUAUAAAUCACUGUAUUUCAAAUAGCCUCCCCAACCAAAACACCCCCGAUUUUUUUAUUUAUUUGAUUUCGGGAAGGGGAGGGGGGAGAGAUAGAGAGAUGGACGAGGCGUGGGAGAGGGCGGUGGAGGCGGCGCUCCACACCGCCGGCGAGGGGAGCUCGUCGCCGGCGAGGAGCCUGACCCUCGACGGCGCCGUCAAGUGCAUGCACGGGCGCUUGCCGGCGCCGGAGAUACUGGAGCGCCACCAGAGCCUGGAGCACCUCUCGAUCGCCGGCGUCGGGGUCGCGUCGCUCGCGGGGUUCCCCCGCCUGCGGAACCUCACGCGCCUGACGCUCUCCGACAACCGCAUCGCCGGCGGCCUCGAGCACCUCGUCGAGGCGGGGCUCGGGUCGCUGCGCGACCUCGACCUCAGCAACAAUCGCAUCCAAGAUGUGGACGACCUCGCGCCGCUCGCCCGCCUCCGCCUCGUCUCGCUCGACCUCUACGAGUGCCCCGUCACGCGGGUCAAGGACUACAGAUCCAGGGUGUUCGGGUUGAUCCGGACUCUCAAGUACCUCGACAAGAUGGACGCCGACGAGAACGAGCGCCCGGAGUCGGACGACGACGACGACGACGGGGACGGCGAAGGUGAUGGCGAGGAAGAAGAUGAUGAUGACGACGACGAUGACGAGGAUCCUGGAAGCGGCGAGGUGGCAAACGGGGGCGCCUCGCACUCGCGAGGUAGCGUCGCACCGCGCCCGGUGGAGGUGAAUGGGGUGAUCGAUGUGGAUGAGGAUGAGAGCGAGGCCGACGAGGUCGUGCCCAAUGGGGGAGCCGAGCACCACCACAGGGCCAACGGGUUCAGGGUUGCAGCGGUUGGGGUAGCCCCUGAUGAGGAUGAUGAAGACGUGGAGGAUGACGACGACGAUGCAGACGAAGAGUAUGAGGAGGAGGAGGAUUUGGGAGAGGAGAUCGAUGAGGAGGGUGAUGAAGAUGACACUGUUGUCGAGGUACUUGACGUGCCCAGUAGUGAUGAUGAGGAGGAUGGCAUCGAUGAGGAUGAUGAUGAUGAGGAGGAGGUUGAGGAUGAUGGUGAUGGUGAGGAGGCUGAGCCAGAGAGUAGUGGGAGGGUUGCUAUGGGGGUGGGGGGCGUUGGAGAAGAGAUCGAUGGACAUGAGCAAGGUGAAGGUGAUGAUGAGGAUGAGAAUGGUGAGAUUGGAGAGGAAGACGAGGAAAGAUUGGAGGAUAGUAGGGUUUAUGAGGAGGACAACGAUGAUGACGAUGCUGAUGAUGAGGAUGAAGACACAGAAUAUCUUGUUCAACCAAUUGUGACGCCCCAAGCCAUGGCUGUUGGAAGUCCAGGGGACUUUGAUAUCGCUGACCCGGAUGAUGUCGAUGAAGACAGAGAUGAGGUCGAUGAUGAUGACGACGAGGGUGGCAAAGACCAGCCGUCGUCCUCGCAGGGUAUCAAGCGGAAGAGGGAUGAUGACCCAUCAGGCAGCGGCAGCGACGAUGAGGAUGAUGAUACUGAUGACCGGCCGUUCAAGCACCAGUGACCAUUGUACAUGGAUCAUCCCCUUCCUCACCCCUUCUCAGGUAGAAAGAAGUAACCAGGAGCAGCAGCAUCAGCAGCAAAACAGAAAUGAUCCCUGCGCGCAACGGCCGCGAUAAGGAAGGAGGGGACAGCCAGGACAGGCAGGCGACCACGCGAUGCCCGUGAGCCGUGUGGUCGUUCGUGGUGGGGAGCUGCAGGAUCGGACGGCACGGAAUGGAAAGCGGUUGUGUGCGCUUGCCUCGCUUGAGCUGCGGCGUGGAGCGGGCCCACGGGCCACCGAGUUUUGCGCGGGUCUCGUCCGCGUACGUGGGCCGGGCCUAGAGGCUAGAGGCCGCACCACGUUGGGACUUGGGAAGUCAAAGUAGUUUGGCCGGGCUUUCUCAAAAAAAAAAGAAGAAGAAGAGAAGUACUCCCUCCGUUCCUACUACUCCGUAUGUAGUAUUUUAAGACAUUUCACAUGAACAACUAACAUAUGAUGUAUGUAGACAUAUUUUAAAGUGUAGAUUCACUCAUUUUGCUCCGUA